UUUCACUCCAGAAUAGCAACAGUACCUCCGCGAGUUCCGAGCAGAAGGAUGCAUAUAAAUGUAUGCCUUGUAAACUAGAGACACCAUGACAGCAAAAAUGGCCAGAGAGACAACCCAGUGUAUAACUACAACAUCUAACGUGACAAAGACCUCAGUUCCAGAGGUCCAGCAGACAAGACGGACCCUUUGCAGAUACUGGCUGCAGAAACAACUCAAGUGGUGAAAGUACUAUUUACUGCUUUGCGUGUUCUGUGCUGGCUGGCGGGGAGCAGCUCAGCCAAUCGGGGCUGGACAGCCUGGUAUCUGGAGACAGGUCCGAGAACAGCGG